GCCCAUAAGAGGGGUUGUGGAAUUCUCUCCGCGACCAAUCCCGUGGCUGCAUGCAAACCUAACGCAAACCUCCGCCCGCAAGUCUUCAUUCCUCUCCGGAUUCUACGUCACCAUAUCCUUACGUUUUCUUAUUGUCCUACCCGGCCAGAUGGGCUUUAGUUGCUUAAACUCUGGAGGAGAGCAAGGCAGGUGCUACGAGAGGCAAAAGACAAUUCGCGGAGCUGAAACCUUCACGUCUUCCCAAAACUUAGGUGACUUGCGGGAGGCCACUCAAUACUGAUAGGUUGGUGGAGGCCUGAGAAGAACUGAAAAGGUGUAGAGAUGUCUUCAGCAUACCAUACAGGAACCAGUCAGUUCCAGUUUGUCCAGAACCUUUAUUGGAAAAAUGUCCCAGGGGUGAGAUCACCAGCAGCUGGAGGGGCUGCCAGAUGCGGGAGGAGCACCGGAGGCUCCGUGGAAGACACUGGAAUAGUGCAAUGCAGCGUCUGCCUCUAGGCCCACAUGGUUCUUCUGACUCACUGAAGGAGGGCAACCCGGGCAGAAACACCCCUCUCUGAGGCCCAGAGGCAAGCUGUAGGGGCAGCUAGUGGGUGCCAAUAGUCCUGAUGCAGUUGACAUGGGGCCCCUAUCGAGGACCUAGUGGGAUAGGGUUGAAUAAGUGAUUCUCCCCUGGACCUGGGGGAUGGGAGAGAUGUUCCAUUUGAUAUCCACUCCCAAGUCCAGGAUACAGAAUCUACCAGACCUACAUUCUGGCCCUGCUUACAGUGGAAAGAGGAUGGGUAGCAGCCUGGGAUUCUGGGAGCAUACUGCCUUGUGGGAGUCUCAAGCAGGUCACCAUCUUAGGCUUUCCCUGCCCCCCCCCCCCCUUACUCAUACAGUGCAUCCUCACAGUGCAUCCUCUCUUCUGGUUCUGGUUCUUCAUCCGAUCAAACAUCAAUGGUGUUGAUUGAUGGAGACUUUUUCUGUAAGAGAAAAAUUACCCAUCCUGAAUUCCAGAAAGGUAAAUGUGCCACCCUUGCCUUCUGGACUCCUUCAUCCCAGACAUUCCAUGCACACAGUGUACACACAGACACACCGCCUAUUCUGUCUUUCAGUGAUGAUCCCUCUGCACCCAAAUCCCCCUUCUCACACUCACUGGUCCCACAUCACCUGUCUUGUCCCCACUGGCCUUCCCUGAGGACUCUGUUCAGGCCCCUUCCCCUUCUCCUUGGGGUUGUUGUUGGAGUCGUUGUCCUUGAUGAUGUCAUACUGACGGCAGAAUAGCCCGAUUACAGCUGGAAACACAACAAUA